rnacentral:rRNA from 1 species
GAUGAACGCUGGCGGCGUGCUUAACACAUGCAAGUCGAACGAAGCACUUUAUUUGAUUUCCUUCGGGACUGAUUAUUUUGUGACUGAGUGGCGGACGGGUGAGUAACGCGUGGGUAACCUGCCUUGUACAGGGGGAUAACAGUUGGAAACGGCUGCUAAUACCGCAUAAGCGCACGGCAUCGCAUGAUGCAGUGUGAAAAACUCCGGUGGUAUAAGAUGGACCCGCGUUGGAUUAGCUAGUUGGUGAGGUAACGGCCCACCAAGGCGACGAUCCAUAGCCGAACGGGGAGGGGGACCGGCCAAAAUGGGACUGAGACACGGCCCAAACUCCUACGGGAGGCAGCAGUGGGGAAUAUUGCACAAUGGGCGAAAGCCUGAUGCAGCGACGCCGCGUGAGCGAAGAAGUAUUUCGGUAUGUAAAGCUCUAUCAGCAGGGAAGAUAAUGACGGUACCUGACUAAGAAGCACCGGCUAAAUACGUG